GGGUAUAGCUCAGUGGUAGAGUGCCUGCUUAGCAUGCACUAUGUCCUGGAUUCAAUUCCCAGUACCUCCA
rnacentral:tRNA from 1 species